GGUCAUUAGGCCAAAUUGGGUGACACGGCUGCUCCAAUGUGUAGAGGAGUCUGGGGAUGUGAGUAUUUUCACCUGAGCACAUUGCCAGUCAUUUCUUCUGGCAAGGGAGCAGAGAACCUAUACUGGGGAAGCAACCAGCAGUAUCUUCUGUGGGGUGAUUAUGUGAGAAAGGUUAGGCUUGAACAUAGCAGCAUGCAGCCUUUUUAGACUUAUUACUUUUCUUUGUGAGAGACAAAAAUAUUAAAGCAAUCCAUUUGAUUCUAAUUCUAACAGGAAGUAAAGAAUAAAUCAUCAGCCCCGGGCUAGUUUUCCUCAUAAAAUGGGGGGCACUUAGAGGGAUCCGCGUCCUCUAAACCUCUGUGUUCCAGCCCUUUUGGUCUUACCGACAGGGCCUCCUAUUUUUUAAAAUUAAAUUCCACCUUGCAAAAGUAGUUGGAAAAAUCCAAGCUCCGCAAGUUGCUAGGAGACCCGAGGGGCUUUAUUGGGUGAGCGGUCUGGGGCCUGCGUGGCUGAAUUUCUCUCUCCUGAUGACAGACAUGCCUGAAACGUGUUUAAUCCCCAAAGCUGUGUGGAGGUGGGCAGAGUUUCAGCUCUGAGCAGAGGGCGAUCCCCCCAUCACAGGCUGUGGCAAGUUCUCCCGAAGAGAAGCCACAGGCUGCCGAAGUACAGAAAAGGGUUUGCGACCUUCCUUCCAUCAGGCGGCGACCCUGCUAGAGCAGUCCCAUCUUCGAGAACCCUCUGCCCUCACCCUGUUAAGGCUUGCUCCCCGGGUUGCUGUUCUCAGACCAGCGAGCUCCUGGGGCAAAGGGUCUGUGCGAUGCAGCCUGUGGUCUCCGAGAUGAGCCGUGGAUGCCAGGAUGGAUCUGCUUUUCCUCCCGCCCCCCCCCCCCCCCCCGCCAUCUUUCUGCCCUGUCUCCCUGCCCUUCCCCGCUCAUUGCUGGAGUGAUAUCUUUGUUAGCUAAAUUGAGCACGUGCCAGAUGCCCUUCAUCUAAAUGAGCAAGUGCUUUCUGGGACGCGGCCUGAUGAAAGCAUAGCCGAGCAGAGCUCCGUGAGCGCGCCAAACCCGGGCUGCCGGAAAGGAAAACCGUGUUGUUUUAAGAGGACUGCGUGUUGCGUGUGCCGGCUCAUGGUCAGACACCAGGAAGAGGCAGAGUCGCGUAGCAGGAUCUUCAUUCCUGUGCAGCCCUCCCGGCCCGGCACCCUCCGGCUGCAGAUGAGAGAUGGCUCUGGGGAAAUUCCAUUCUGUAAUUCAUUUAAGCAGGAUAAACAGAGCUCCCGCUCUGGAAGAUUCGGCCCAGAGCACAAGGCGCUCGGCGUCUGCGUGGGGUCUCGGAUGUCCACGGGCACACAGGAGUCAGGCGACCUGAGAUGCAGCCGGCCCUGACACCAAAAAGCCAUCGGACCUGAGAAAUUCCUAGUCCUGGCUGGACCCCCACACGUGACGGACACCGGGACAGCAAUUGAUGAUGACACCCGCGUCCAGCCUAAUGCUCUCUGACAGGAGGGAGCACAGGUAAGGGCAGAUUUUCUGAGCUGGCAAUUCUCACUAGGUGGUCUACAUCAGAAUCACCUGGAAUGCGGCUUAAAUGCAGAUUCCCAGGCCUCGCCCCUAGAAACUCAGAUUCCCUUUGGAGCCCAAAAGUCUGCAUGUUGAACUUGCACUCCAAGGCCUUCUGCUGCAGGAGGAACAUGAACCACACCUUGAGAAACGCUCCCAGGGAAGCCAUUUGCCCACUAUCAGAAUUGUGCCCGCAGUUUGGGGUUCACCCGGCCUUUCCAGUGGUUUCUGUUAACAGCUGAGGGAGUCUUUAAUACACACGCUUUGGGGAGCCUCAAAGUCAUUAGAGAUGACCAAGCCCACAUUAUGCGUUGAGUCUGUAAACUGUUUGCAAUUAACAUAAGCGUAAUUAUCUAGAUCAGACUGCCAUUAAUAGAGUGCGUGGUCCUGGAAACACACCUAA